CGAAAGCCUGACGGAGCAAGACCGCGUGAGGGAGGAAGGUCUGUGGAUUGUAAACCUCUUUUCUCAGGGAAGAAGAACUGACGGUACCUGAGGAAUCAGCAUCGGCUAACUCCGUGCCAGCAGCCGCGGUAAUACGGAGGAUGCAAGCGUUAUCCGGAAUUAUUGGGCGUAAAGCGUCCGUAGGUGGCUAAGCAAGUCUGCUGUUAAAGAGCGGAGCUAAACUCCGUAAAGGCGGUGGAAACUGCAUAGCUAGAGUGUGGUAGGGGUAGAGGGAAUUCCCAGUGUAGCGGUGAAAUGCGUAGAUAUUGGGAAGAACACCGGUGGCGAAGGCGCUCUACUGGGCCACAACUGACACUGAUGGACGAAAGCUAGGGGAGCGAAUGGGAUUAGAUACC
rnacentral:rRNA from 1 species